GUCUAUGGCCAUGCUAUCCUGAACAAGCCUGAUCCUGUCUGAUCUCAAAAGCUAAGCAGGGUCAGACCUGGUUAGUACUUGGAUGGGAGACCAACUAGGAAGACCAGGUGCUACAGGUG
rnacentral:rRNA from 1 species